GCUAGUGUAGCUUAAAUAAAGCAUAGCACUGAAGAUGCUAAGAUGGGCCUUAAAAACCUCACAUGCA
rnacentral:tRNA from 1 species